rnacentral:misc_RNA from 1 species
CGGCAUUGGCGACGAACCGAGGUGAAAUACUUGCGUCGGCGUCGGGUAGGAGAGAGAGAAAGAGGCGUUGCCGGGUGCCAAGGUCAUAGGCGGCGAGGGCGUUGAAGGGAGGAAGUGGGGGAUAGGAGUGGAUAACUGCAAGGAGACGAUUAUUCAAUGUAUCUACGGUCAUGCCCAUAAAGCUGGUGUUUGGAGGGAGGGAAGGGUCGAAGAUGAGGGUUUGGACAACGCCUGCAGCGGAUACGGAGUGGAUAGUGCGGUGGCGGAGGGCGCCAACAAUGAAGUGUUGAGCCAAUGGGUCAUAGGCAAGGCCCUCGGGAUAGAGAUUUGGCGACUGAAAAUUGAUGAUGUGAGGCUUUCCUGUGGUUGAAGAGGUGAUGCUGAUGACGAUGAUACCCAAAAAAAGGAAAGAGAUAAAAGACAUGGUUUUUGCAAUCUCUGGUGAGUAACAUGUAGCUACAGGGUGGUGGUUGCAUU